rnacentral:rRNA from 1 species
UACAGAGGGGGCAAGCGUUGUUCGGAAUUACUGGGCGUAAAGGGCGCGUAGGCGGCCUGUUAAGUCGGACGUGAAAUCCCUCGGCUCAACCGGGGAACUGCGUCCGAUACUGGCGGGCUUGAAUUCGGGAGAGGGAUGUGGAAUUCCAGGUGUAGCGGUGGAAUGCGUAGAGAUCCGGAAGAACACCGGUGGCGAAGGCGGUUAGCUGGGCAGUUGCUGACACUGAGGCGCGACAGCGUGGGGAGCAAACAGG